CCUACGGGAGGCAGCAGUGGGGAAUAUUGGACAAUGGGGGGAACCCUGAUCCAGCCAUGCCGCGUGUGUGAAGAAGGCCCUCGGGUUGUAAAGCACUUUCAGUGAGGAAGAACGCCUGGUGGUUAAUACCCAUCAGGAAAGACAUCACUCACAGAAGAAGCACCGGCUAACUCCGUGCCAGCAGCCGCGGUAAUACGGAGGGUGCGAGCGUUAAUCGGAAUUACUGGGCGUAAAGCGCGCGUAGGUGGCUUGAUAAGCCGGUUGUGAAAGCCCCGGGCUCAACCUGGGAACGGCAUCCGGAACUGGCAAGCUAGAGUGCAGGAGAGGAAGGUAGAAUUCCCGGUGUAGCGGUGAAAUGCGUAGAGAUCGGGAGGAAUACCAGUGGCGAAGGCGGCCUUCUGGACUGACACUGACACUGAGGUGCGAAAGCGUGGGUAGCAAACAGGAUUAGAUACCCUAGUAGUC
rnacentral:rRNA from 1 species